rnacentral:rRNA from 1 species
UGGGAACGUGCCUUUUGGUUCGGAACAACACAGGGAAACUUGUGCUAAUACCGGAUACGUCCGUAAGGAGAAAGAUUUAUCGCCGAAGGAUUGGCCCGCGUCCGAUUAGCUUGUUGGUGAGGUAAUGGCUCACCAAGGCGACGAUCGGUAGCAGGUCUGAGAGGAUGAUCAGCCUCACUGGGACUGAGACACGGCCCAGACUCCUACGGGAGGCAG